rnacentral:lncRNA from 1 species
GGAAAAGUACUUGAUCGAAACUAUUGGCAAGCUCCUGUAUACUGUUUCGAUGAUGCUGCUGGACAGAAGAAGAAUGCAAAUAUGGAUAUACUCAAUUCUGGUGCUGCAGUUGAAACUGGAGCUUAUUAUGAGAGUUUUUUGCGAUCACCUGGGAUGAAAUUCAAGGCAGGACUUUGAAUAUUAUGGAGUAAUGUAAUUGGAGCCGUUGGGGUGGAAUAUCAACAAAAUGGACUUUUAUGUCAUAAAGAGAAUAUGCUGGAAUUUUUUAAAAUUGGGGCCUUUAAAAUUUUAAAGCCCUGUGUUAUUGGGCUGUUUGCACACCCUAAUAGCCCGCAGGUUUGCAAUUGGCACUUGAAUAAAAAAAGAUAGCGAAUAUAAUGAAAUAUUUAAGAUUGUCCGUCUCUUAAAUACAGUAGUUAUUAGCAAGGUGAUGGUCGUAGAAAUCGGAGAAAUUAGUCAGUUGACUUAACUAUUUAGAAUUUAUCGAGUAAAUUAGAUAUUUUGGUCAAACUAAAAUCUGCCGGAUAAAUCAGUGAAAUAUUUUAUAAUCUAUAUAAAAAAUUUAGAACAGUGACUUAAAAUUCUUAGCCACUAAAAUGAGUUAGAAUUUUCAACUUAAAAUGAGUUAUGAUUAUCAAUUUCUUUGUACAAGUACGAAGUUGGCUUAUACAUAAUUUAUCUGAAUAAUACGAAUAAAUUGUUUUUAACUUAUAAAUUAGAAGUUCGAACAUAACUAAUUAUUUUAUUAGGGAUGACAAUUUCAGAUAAUAUAUCAGAUUUUCUUAUUUGAUCAUGUUUUUCGGUCUACUUUUUACUUUGUGCAUAGUACUAGAAUCUACGGAUACCAACAAGAGGUAGAGACUGAAACUUUUGCAUUCUAAGGGUGCUUGGAUCGUGAUUGGGAGUGACUCAGACUCAUGAGAACCAGAUAUGAGAAUGGGUAUCCCAAAAAAAGUUAAAUGAGAUUGGAGUUCUCAUUUUAUGUCACAAAUAGCUCAUUCAAACAUAACAUCAGUAAGUUGCCCUGAGGAUGGAGUAGUAACAUAAUAGCAUAUAAUUAUGUUAAUUGGAGUAUCAUUAAGAUCUUAACUUUACAAUCACAAAUUAUCAUUUCAUGAUUCUCUUUUUGUUUGAAAAUUAUUUACAUGUGUAGGUAUCCAAUAUUAUUUUCAACUUAAAGUAACGUUAGUUUUAGUAAAAUGAUCAAUUAAUUUUUAUACAUUUUACGGAAUACUUUUUGUAUACUAAUCUUAUAUUAGUUAUACCUAUGCAUAUGUUUCUUUUAUAAUCAUAUUUAUAUUUAUAUAUGAUUUAUAAUAUAAAAAUAUUUGUUAAUUUAAAAUUUUAUAUUACUUUUGGCAUUUUAUAUUUUAUAGAAAAUUAUAGAUAUUAAAAUUUAUUGUUAUAUUAGUUGAAAAAGUAUGAUCAUCACACAAAGAAAACUAGACAUAUGGCACAAAAAUACAAACAUUGACAUUGUUCAAAGUAACUCUAAAUUUUAAGUUGCUUAAGUGACAAUUUAAUAUAAUAAUUAAACCGUGUUCUAAAACGUAUUAAAUUUUAUGAGAGAAACUCAUAAUGAGUACUUUAAUCAAAGAUAGUGUCUCAAAAAAUUAAUUUUAUAGAUUAAAUUAUAUAUAUAUACACGUAUUAAAUUUUAUGAGGGAGACUCAUAAUGAGUACUUUAAUCAAAGAUAGUGUCUCAAAAAAUUAAUUUUAUAGAUUAAAUUAUCUAUAUAUAUAUAUAUAUAUAUAUAUAUAUUACAAGAUUAAUUUGUUUAAAUAUUAUAGUACUAUAUCAAACUUAUGAAGUUCAAAAAUAAAUAAUGAAGAGUGAGAAAGUGGACAAUAUCUGUAAUAUAAUUAUAUAAGUAUGUAUAUAUGUGUGUGUGAUCUUUAACAUUCGUCCUUAUCAUUAUUGAUGAUCGUCUAAAACAAGUAUUAACGAUCCAAAUAUUUCAUGGAUCAAGUUAGGACUUAUCUAAUCUUGAUCAAGUCGUCAGUAUAAACGUCAUUAUAUUAGUUCGAGUCGAAUCAAAUUAUAUUUAUGCAUAUCCUAAUCAGGUAUUAUGGAUAUCAUUAUGAAUUUCAAAAUUAAUUUAAAUUUAAAAUUUUAAUAAAAUCAAACAUAUUAUCAACAUUUAAACUAAAUUAUUAAUAGAAAUUUGUAAAUAAUAGAUUCUUACAUCGUCCUGGAUUCUAUGCUAGUUUCGUGUUAAAUUACCAACGAUUUUAUGACUUAUUUUAGAAUUUCACAGAAUAAUCUUUUUGAUAAAUUGUUGCUAACAAUCAAGGGACUAAUCAUCAGAAAUUUUGUAGUGUUGUAUAGAUUAUUUGUCUUUUGUCAAAAAUAUCAAUCAAGUAAUUCGUGAGACAUACUAAUAAGAGAAAAUAUCAUCCGUGUAGGUCCAAUCCUGUGUAAUAAUAGUACAAUACCAUGAAGUACUACCAAUAAAAAAUCAGCCCUGCAUUUCUUAUCCUCCCACCAGCUCAAAUAUUAUUAAACCCAAAUAAGAACCUAAAUGAUUCUCAUGGCACCCACCAGCCUCUGUUUCCUCAUUUUAUUAACCACAUCUCUAGUCUCAUCAUCAAGCCUCACCGAUCCAACUCCUAAGCCAUGGCCACUACAAUUCCACUCAACCAUGAUUGCAAAAAUCGAAAACGGCACUCAACUCGAAAUCCUCAAUUUAUGGUACGACUGGCCUAAUGGAAUCAGCAUGAGCAUUGUGCAGAAACAACUAGGAAAGCUUCUUUAUGGUCCGGAAUGGAAUAACGGCACUUCUUUUUUCUAUGCUUUGGACUCAAGUGAAGAGUGUAGAGUCACGCAGUUCGACGUGGGGAUUGUGAGACCCAACUGGAUUGAGGGUGCCAAGUACGUUGGACAAGAGUACAUGGAUGGGUUCUUGUGUAAUGUGUGGAACAAAGUGGACUUUAUUAUUUACUAUGAAGAUGUCGUGUCGAAAAGACCCGUGGCUUGGUUUUUCGUCGAAGGUAUGUAAAGCUUUUCACGUAGAGCCGUAACUGAACUGUUCGGCAAGCUUGUUCGAUUUGGUCGUGUUCGAGUUCGUAAACUCGUCUGAUAAGUUUAUCGAAAAUGAGUUUGAACACUAUUUUUCAUCUAAACUUAACGAACCGAACUGAAUUUUAGGGUGUUCAGGUCGUGUUCGGUUCGAUAAGCUCUUGUUCGGCUCGAGUUCGAUAAACUCGUGUUCGUUCGACAAUAAAUAAAAAUAUUUAUAAUAUUAUAUGUAAAUAUGAUAUAUAAUAUCCAUAAUUUAGGAUUUAAUUUUAUUUUAUAAUUGUAGAAUUAUUUAAAAUUGAUAUUGUAUAUGUUAAAAAUAUAUAAAUAAAGUAUUUGGUUUAAUUUCUUUCAUUAAAUUAAUUUAAAAAUAGCCUAAAUGUUAUUUAAAAAUAUAGAUUGUUCGCGAGCUGUUCGUGUUCGGUUCGUCUAUUACCGAACUCGAGCUCGGACAAAAAAAUUUGUUCGAUAAAGUUAUCGAACAUUGUUCGAUUUGUUAAGAUCUUGCUCAUGUUCGGUAAGAGUUCGUCGGAAUUCGGUUCAUUUACGGCUCUACUUUCAUGUGUCUUAGAAAUUAUCAGAUGUUCUUUAAAUUUUGAGUCUGAGCAAAAAUCAAACUUAUGAUUUGAAAAGAUUUCAUGGGACAACAAAAUCAAACUCAUUUUAUUAAUGAUUUUAUGAAAUUUAUAAAAUGAUGAAUUUUAAUAUCAUCUUUUAUAUUUCCUCCAUCUCAAAAUAAUAGUCUUGUUUUGAUCUGACUUAAUCAAGUUGAUAUUUGAUCAAUAAUUGCACAUACUAUAUGAUUAAAGAAAAGUUCGAAAAUCAUAUAAUUAGAAUUUAAUGUUUUCUUAAUGGAUUCCGUUAAAGUCAACUGAUACUUAACGGCGCAGUGACCAAAAUGCAAAUUUUUAUCAGUUCAGUGAGUUGACUGCAAGUUAAAUCUAGUUUUGUAAUCCGUUUGCAAGCUUUUUGAGUUCAGUGACGUAACUGCAAGUUGGUCAUGAGUUCAGUGAUCUUUUUGCCUAUUUACCCUGAAAAUAUUAGACAAUGUGAUUAUUGAAAAGUCACACAGGAGUAAAUUUUUAUUUAGAAAUUCCGGUAGCAACGACUAAAUUAAAAUGAAGACAAUAUAUUAAUUCGUUAAAAUCUAUCAAAAUUUAACGUUUUAAUUUCGAGGUUGAUAUAAUAUUUGGUGUUGCAGGAGGAGGAAGUGAACAUAUAAUGACAUUCGAAGUGGGAAAAGUACUUGAUCAAAGCUAUUGGCAAGCUCCUGUAUACUGUUUCGAUGAUGCUGCUGAACAGAAGAAGAAUGCAAAUAUGGAUAUACUCAAUUCUGGUGCUGCAGUUGAAACUGGAGCUUAUGAGAGUUUUAUGCGAUCAUCACUUGGGAUGAAACUCAAGGCUGCACUUUGAAUAUUUUUACUUCCUCGGUGCAUG